rnacentral:rRNA from 1 species
CCUACGGGGUGCAGCAGUGGGGAAUAUUGGACAAUGGGCGAAAGCCUGAUCCAGCCAUGCCGCGUGUGUGAAGAAGGCCUUCGGGUUGUAAAGCACUUUCAGUGGGGAAGAAAGCCUUGGGGCUAAUACCCUCGAGGAAGGACAUCACCCACAGAAGAAGCACCGGCUAACUCCGUGCCAGCAGCCGCGGUAAUACGGAGGGUGCGAGCGUUAAUCGGAAUUACUGGGCGUAAAGCGCGCGUAGGCGGUCUGAUAAGCCGGUUGUGAAAGCCCCGGGCUCAACCUGGGAACGGCAUCCGGAACUGUCAGGCUAGAGUGCAGGAGAGGAAGGUAGAAUUCCCGGUGUAGCGGUGAAAUGCGUAGAGAUCGGGAGGAAUACCAGUGGCGAAGGCGGCCUUCUGGACUGACACUGACGCUGAGGUGCGAAAGCGUGGGUAGCAAACAGGAUUUGAUACCCGAGUAUC